GAGUCAUUAAAUCUCAAGGAUAUCUAUUUGGUCAUGUUUUCUUGUGGUAUUUCAAGGCUACUGGUGACUUCUUCAACAGUUAAGAAACUGAACUAUAUGUUCAUGAAAAUACUCAAUCAUUAAAGUUUAUG
rnacentral:lncRNA from 1 species